rnacentral:rRNA from 1 species
CAAGUCGAACGAACUUAAUUCGAAUGUUUACAUUUGGAAGCGGUUAGUGGCCGUCUGGUGAGUAACACGUAAGCAACCUGGCUAUUAGAGGGCAAUAACAGUGAGAAAUCAUUGCUAAUACCGCAUAUGCCAUAGAUACCACAUGGUAUCAGUGGGAAAGGAGAAAUCCGCUAAUAGAUGGGCUUGCGUCUGAUUAGAUAGUUGGUGGGGUAACGGCCUACCAAGUCGACGAUCAGUAGCCGAACUGAGAGGUUGAACGGCCACAUUGGGACUGAGAUACGGCCCAGACUCCUACGGGAGGCAGCAGUCGGGAAUAUUGCACAAUGGAGGAAACUCUGAUGCAGUGACGCCGCGUGCAGGAAGAAGGUUUUCGGAUUGUAAACUGCUUUAGACAGGGAAGAAAAAAGACAGUACCUGUAGAAUAAGCUCCGGCUAACUACGUGCCAGCAGCCGCGGUAAUACGUAGGGAGCAAGCGUUAUCCGGAUUUAUUGGGUGUAAAGGGUGCGUAGACGGGCUAACAAGUUAGUUGUGAAAUCCCUCGGCUUAACUGAGGAACUGCAACUAAAACUAUUAGUCUUGAGUGCGGGAGAGGAAAGUGGAAUUCCUAGUGUAGCGGUGAAAUGCGUAGAUAUUAGGAGGAACACCAGUGGCGAAGGCGACUUUCUGGACCGUAACUGACGUUGAGGCACGAAAGUGUGGGGAGCAAACAGGAUUAGAUACCCUGGUAGUCCACACUGUAAACGAUGGAUACUAGGUGUAGGAGUUAUUAAGACUACUGUGCCGUCGCAAACGCAAUAAGUAUC